rnacentral:rRNA from 1 species
UACGGAGGGGGCAAGCGUUGUUCGGAAUUACUGGGCGUAAAGGGCUCGUAGGCGGCCAACUAAGUCAGACGUGAAAUCCCUCGGCUUAACCGGGGAACUGCAUCUGAUACUGGAUGGCUUGAGUUCGGGAGAGGGAUGCGGAAUUCCAGGUGUAGCGGUGAAAUGCGUAGAUAUCUGGAGGAACACCGGUGGCGAAGGCGGCAUCCUGGACCAACACUGACGCUGAGGAGCGAAAGCCAGGGGAGCAAACGGG